rnacentral:snRNA from 1 species
GGAUGUGAGGGGAUCUGACUGGGACAUCUGUCACCCCAUUGAUCCCAAGUGUUGAUUUGGCUGAUCUGGCCAGCUAGGCGGAGGUCCCAUUUCUCCCUCAGUGCUCCAUGUACGUCCCUCCCGAGGCUACGCGCUUAGUCCAAGAGGACGACCACCCGUGACAGAGGAGGAAUCUUCCUCAGUGAAGGGUACAGGCUGCUCUCCCCUGCUGCAACCUCCAGACAAGCUCUCAAGGAGAGCUUCUUCAAAAAAAAAUUCCACGUCUGUUGAAGAAUCACCAGUUGUGCUAAUGUAAAAAACUUACUCUCACAAACACUAGCUAAUAUAGAUUUUU